rnacentral:rRNA from 1 species
CCUACGGGUGGCAGCAGUGGGGAAUAUUGGACAAUGGGGGGAACCCUGAUCCAGCCAUGCCGCGUGUGUGAAGAAGGCCCUCGGGUUGUAAAGCACUUUCAGUGAGGAAGAACGCCUGGUGGUUAAUACCCAUCAGGAAAGACAUCACUCACAGAAGAAGCACCGGCUAACUCCGUGCCAGCAGCCGCGGUAAUACGGAGGGUGCGAGCGUUAAUCGGAAUUACUGGGCGUAAAGCGCGCGUAGGUGGCUUGAUAAGCCGGUUGUGAAAGUCCCGGGCUCAACCUGGGAACGGCAUCCGGAACUGUCAAGCUAGAGUGCAGGAGAGGAAGGUAGAAUUCCCGGUGUAGCGGUGAAAUGCGUAGAGAUCGGGAGGAAUACCAGUGGCGAAGGCGGCCUUCUGGACUGACACUGACACUGAGGUGCGAAAGCGUGGGUAGCAAACAGGAUUAGAUACCCCGGUAGUC